rnacentral:rRNA from 1 species
GGACUACUAGGGUUUCUAAUCCUGUUCGCUCCCCACGCUUUCGCUCCUCAGUGUCAGGUAAGGCCCAGAGAACCGCCUUCGCCACCGGUGUUCCUCCCGAUAUCUGCGCAUUUCACCGCUACACCGGGAAUUCCAUUCUCCCCUACCUACCUCUAGUCUGCCCGUAUCCACUGCAAGCCCAAGGUUAAGCCUUGGGUUUUCACAGCGGACGCAGCAGACCACCUACGAGCUCUUUACGCCCAAUAAUUCCGGACAACGCUUGCGCCCUACGUGUUACCGCGGCUGCUGGCAC